AGUAGGGAAUCUUGCGCAAUGGGCGAAAGCCUGACGCAGCCAUGCCGCGUGAAUGAUGAAGGUCUUAGGAUUGUAAAAUUCUUUCAGCGGGGACGAUAAUGACGGUACCCGCAGAAGAAGCCCCGGCUAACUUCGUGCCAGCAGCCGCGGUAAUACGAAGGGGGCUAGCGUUGCUCGGAAUUACUGGGCGUAAAGGGCGCGUAGGCGGACAGUUUAGUCAGAGGUUAAAGCCCAGGGCUCAACCUUGGAAUUGCCUUUGAUACUGGCUGUCUUGAGUACGGGAGAGGUGUGUGGAACUCCGAGUGUAGAGGUGAAAUUCGUAGAUAUUCGGAAGAACACCAGUGGCGAAGGCGACACACUGGCCCGUUACUGACGCUGAGGCGCGAAAGCGUGGGGAGCAAA
rnacentral:rRNA from 1 species